GGAGAAGAAAGAGUCAGUGCUUGGAAGAGCAGCCCAAGAGAAACACUAAGAAGCUUUGAAAAUUUUGUGAUAGGAGAUAGCAGUAUAGCACCCCUGUAAUAAGAUGACAACAGGAAAUUUUCAGUAGAGAGUUUGAGGUACAGAUCCCUAAGCCAGAGCUGUAAUAAAUGCCAUUAUCUCAGUGGCUUUUCUUCCACUAAGAUCAGCUUAUGAUCUUAUAAUUUUGCAGUGGAUCUUUCUGUUUUAGAGGUAAAACAGCAAAAGAAAGGUCCAGCCUGUAACACCAAAGCGGUUUGUAAAUGGAUGUCUUUGUUAGGGUUGCCUCUCUUAGAUGUCUUCUCUGCUGCCAAACUGACAGAAAUAGGUUCACAUAUUCGUGGUAUUUUCUGGUUGUCAAAGUGGUUUAACUUUAAAAAUUAUCAUUAUAGCUAAUUGGUGAGAGUUGUCCAAGUGCCUCUUAUGUGAAUUGAUAACCUCCAGAGUACUAGUUAUUGCAUAUCCUUGGGCAGGACCCUCAGUCUUACAUUUGAACAGAUUUUUCUUUAACUAUACUUGGAAUUUGAAAAUGCUCAGUACAUGAAACCCUCAGCAUUAUGUGUGGAAAGGGAUUGAAGGCAGAGCUAGAAUUCACAUUUUGGUCUUCAGAGGUGACUGCUUCCUGAGUGACUGCUUCCUGAGUGACAUACUGACACAGUCAUGGGAAGCACAUCUGAUGAUAUCAGUCCUGAGAGAAUGGGAUUGAACGAUUUAGCAGAAGCUAGCACAGUCCAUAAGAGAUAUCUAUACCAAUGACACUUGUGAACAAUUGGUUUCAACAAUUCUACAGACUGCCUGAGUAAGAAUAAGAGAUUAGCAUUCACAGCCCCAGACAUCUGAUUGGAGAUCAUCCUCAAGUCCCACUAUCCUGAACCAGUGGUCUUUAAAAUGUCAAAAGAUAGUUCUUAGUGUUUCUGUUUUUACAGUGAAGUAAAAGAAAAUGCACCUAAAAAUAUUUAGUUCUUCUAAACAACAAAAGACAUUAUGUCCUGCCAAAGAUAUUAGCUGAGGAACAUUAGGCCUGCAACACUUGAAAGGCUACAAGUUAAGCAUUCUAUCUAAAAUAUCAUAAUCUUAUGCAUACCUAAUAGCUGGGUGUUGCUAUACUUGUCCUU